CUUCUAUAUAUUAUUGCUAGAAAUUAAUUUAUUUUGCUUUCCAAAGUCCAAAGAAAUCUUUAUUAUUUUGGCACGAAAAACAAUUAUCUUUUAUUCUGCCAAAAAAGACGAUAAUAUUUGCAGAGCAAACACGCGUCAGUGUAGGGGUUGGGUUAUGUUAAGUUCUUAGGAUCCUCCCAAGCUAUUGCACAUGUUUGAAGUCUGUUUGCAUUUGGUCAAGUCCGUGCCACACCACGCUGUGAACAGUUGAAUAUUCAUUUUUAGUUGCAGAGUACAAAUGAAGGUAAAUAAUUAUAAAACUUACUCAAACGAUUGACACAACCACUGACACCCAUGACGCAGCUAUUGCUGAAUUUGCAGCGCACCAAUUGACCAUUUUUGCGGGUCUCUCCGCACACUGGACUGUAGACUGCAGGACAGAUGCUGGGACAUUGCUCCCUUGAUUGUGCUUCCGAAAAGGUACAGACCAGGAGCAGUCCAAGGAGCAGCAGAAACGACUUCAUUGCUGUAAUGUAGGAGGAGAUCUUCUGGUUGAUAACAGUCAGUGCGAGGAGCUUUUAUAGGGCAGCCUCUGAGGGAUGAGCUAUAAUUGUACACAGUUCAACGCACGCUGAAACAGCUGUUAAAAGUUCAUUUUUAAUUAAGAUUUAAAAUUAAAUUACAAACCAUUUUAUUUAGCUCAGUUUUUAUUGCAGUUCAUUUGCCUUUCUGGGGAUUGUCAAUCAAACGGCUACGAAGCUCCCGCCCCUUUAUCAAGCAUCACACAGUUACCAUUCCACACCCAGCCAACUUGGACACUGGUUAAGAGCUUUAACCUUCAGGCCAUACAAUUGCCUGGCGCUAGGCAUGGGAUCGCCUUAAAUGGUC
rnacentral:lncRNA from 1 species